CCUACGGGUGGCAGCAGUGGGGAAUAUUGGACAAUGGGCGAAAGCCUGAUCCAGCCAUGCCGCGUGUGUGAAGAAGGCCUUCGGGUUGUAAAGCACUUUCAGUGGGGAAGAAAGCCUUGGGGCUAAUACCCUCGAGGAAGGACAUCACCCACAGAAGAAGCACCGGCUAACUCCGUGCCAGCAGCCGCGGUAAUACGGAGGGUGCGAGCGUUAAUCGGAAUUACUGGGCGUAAAGCGCGCGUAGGCGGUCUGAUAAGCCGGUUGUGAAAGCCCCGGGCUCAACCUGGGAACGGCAUCCGGAACUCUCAGGCUAGAGUGCAGGAGAGGAAGGUAGAAUUCCCGGUGUAGCGGUGAAAUGCGUAGAGAUCGGGAGGAAUACCAGUGGCGAAGGCGGCCUUCUGGACUGACACUGACGCUGAGGUGCGAAAGCGUGGGCAGCAAACAGGAUUAGAUACCCCUGUAGUC
rnacentral:rRNA from 1 species